GACGAACGCUGGCGGCAGGCUUAACACAUGUAAGUCGAACGCCCCGCAAGGGGAGUGGCAGACGGGUGAGUAACGCGUGGGAACAUACCCUUUCCUGCGGAAUAGCUCUGGGAAACUGGAAUUAAUACCGCAUACGCCCUACGGGGGAAAGAUUUAUCGGGGAAGGAUUGGCCCGCGUUGGAUUAGCUAGUUGGUGGGGUAAAGGCCUACCAAGGCGACGAUCCAUAGCUGGUCUGAGAGGAUGAUCAGCCACAUUGGGACUGAGACACGGCCCAAACUCCUACGGGAGGCAGCAGUGGGGAAUAUUGGACAAUGGGCGCAAGCCUGAUCCAGCCAUGCCGCGUGAGUGAUGAAGGCCUUAGGGUUGUAAAGCUCUUUCACCGAUGAAGAUAAUGACGGUAGUCGGAGAAGAAGCCCCGGCUAACUUCGUGCCAGCAGCCGCGGUAACAC
rnacentral:rRNA from 1 species